CCCUGCUCAAUAUUCCUUCUAUUCUCCACUUCAUCCUUCGCCUUGGCCAUAAUUUCCAAUCAUACAUGGAAUUUACUUUGGUUGAUUAUUUUUUUCUUUCUUUUGGAUAAGGAUAUCCUGGUCUUGCCCUUAUCAUGGAAGAUUCUUGUAUAUCUUUCAUCCCAUACUUUGGUUGAAUUUUGGAACAUUAAUGUAUCGCCUGACAUUCAUAAAUACACUGUCAUAAUUUUAAAUCUGCUGUCUUCCUACAUUAUGCAUGUUUUUCUGUUAUUGAAGAUGCUGCCCGGUUGUGCUAAAAGUUCUCAGUCACAUUCUAAAUUUUUCUUUAGUUCUCAAGCAGUCAUGUUAAAAGAUCUCAAUCACAUUAAGUGAUUUUUGACAGGAUGUUGUUGUUUUACCCUUCUUCUUGUUGAUAUACCUUUCGUAACAUCCUUUCAUCCCUAAUCUCAUCCUCGACCACAACCACUGCUUUGACCACGAUCGUCUCUCCGAAGAUUUGUGAGACAGUUCCAUUAGGUUAUGGGCACUAAGUGGUGAAACAUUGAUGGAGAUGGUUGGUGACACUUCCAUUGUGUAUUCAGUGGAUUCACAUGCUUCCGAAGUCAUUGUUAGUGGGAGUGAAGAUUGUUCGGCAAAGAUAUGGAAAGGUUAAUACUUCAAUCUAUAGGAGUUCGUCAGUUUUUGUUAUUCCUUUCUUCUUCUUCUAGCGUGGAGUUAUAGACCACUAUAUCGUCCAGAUAGACCACCACAAACUUGUUAAGGUAUUCAUGGAAGACCUGGUUCAUUAGCGUACAGAACGUUGCAGGCGCAUUGAUAAGUUCACAUAUUUUACCUUUUAAAUUUGUCAGUGAAGAUCGACAAGUUUUACGUAGUCUU